GGNNGCUAUACAUGCAAGUCGGACGGGAUUGGAGAGCUUGCUUUCCAUGAGAGUGGCGCACGGGUGCGUAACACGUAUGUAACCUACCUUGUUCAGGGGGAUAGCCUCUCGAAAGAGAGAUUAAGACCGCAUAACAUUAUUGAAUGGCAUCGUUUAAUAAUCAAAUAUUUAUAGGAACAAGAUGGGCAUGCGGAACAUUAGCUAGUUGGUAAGGUAACGGCUUACCAAGGCUACGAUGUUUAGGGGAUCUGAGAGGAUGACCCCCCACACUGGUACUGAGACACGGACCAGACUCCUACGGGAGGCAGCAGUAAGGAAUAUUGGUCAAUGGGCGGAAGCCUGAACCAGCCAUGCCGCGUGCAGGAAGACGGCCCUAUGGGUUGUAAACUGCUUUUAUACUGGAAUAAACCUUGAUUCGUGAAUCAAGCUGAAUGUACAGUAAGAAUAAGGAUCGGCUAACUCCGUGCCAGCAGCCGCGGUAAUACGGAGGAUCCAAGCGUUAUCCGGAUUUAUUGGGUUUAAAGGGUGCGUAGGUGGUUCUUUAAGUCAGGGGUGAAAGACGGCAGCUUAACUGUCGCAGUGCCUUUGAUACUGAAGAACUUGAAUGAACUAGAGGUAGGCGGAAUGUGACAAGUAGCGGUGAAAUGCAUAGAUAUGUCACAGAACACCAAUUGCGAAAGCAGCUUACUAUGGUUUGAUUGACACUGAGGCACGAAAGCGUGGGGAUCAAACAGGAUUAGAUACCCUGGUAGUCCACGCCCUAAACGAUGAAUACUCGAUGUUGGCGAUAUACGGUCAGCGUCUAAGCGAAAGCGUUAAGUAUUCCACCUGGGGAGUACGCCCGCAAGGGUGAAACUCAAAGGAAUUGACGGGGGCCCGCACAAGCGGAGGAGCAUGUGGUUUAAUUCGAUGAUACGCGAGGAACCUUACCCGGGCUUGAAAGUUAGUGAAUAAAGCANANACGCUUUAGUCCUUCGGGACACGAAACUAGUGCUGCAUGGCUGUCGUCAGCUCGUGCCGUGAGGUGNUGGGUUAAGUCCCGCAACGAGCGCAACCCCUAUGUUUAGUUGCCAGCACGUCANGGUGGGGACUCUAACNGACUGCCUAUGCAANUNGAGAGGAAGAGGGGACGACGUCAGUCAUCAUGGNCCUUACGUCCGGGCUACNCACGUGCUACNAUGGGCAGU
rnacentral:rRNA from 1 species